rnacentral:rRNA from 1 species
CACGUAGUUAGCCGGGGCUUUCUGGUAAAGUACCGUCAGCUUAUCAUCAUUACCUAUGAUAAGGUUUCUUCCUUUACAACAGAGUUUUACAAUCAUAAAGACCGUCAUCACUCACGCGGCAUUGCUCGUUCAGGGUUUCCCCCAUUGACGAAUAUUCCUAACUGCUGUCUCCCGUAGGAGUCUGGGCCGUGUCUCAGUCCCAGUGUGUCCGAUCAGCCUCUCAGCUCGGAUAUGCAUCGUUGCCUUGGUAGGCCAUUACCCCACCAACUAGCUAAUGCACCGCAAGCCCAUCUCAAAGUGAAGCCGAAGCUCCUUUAGCACAUCUAGUUAUCUAAAUGUGAAUCAUCUGGUAUUAGCAGUCGUUUCAACUGUUGUCCCAGUCUCUGAGGUAGGUUACCCACGUGUUACUCACCCGUCUGCCACUAAGUGGCGAACCAAAUCCAAUUUUGUGCAAGCACUCCAUCUCAUUCGGACCACUUCGUUCGACUUUGCU